rnacentral:rRNA from 1 species
UACGGAGGGUGCAAGCGUUAUCCGGAUUCACUGGGUUUAAAGGGUGCGUAGGCGGAUCUGUAAGUCAGUGGUGAAAUCUCCGGGCUUAACCCGGAAACUGCCGUUGAUACUAUAGAUCUUGAAUGUUGUGGAGGUUAGCGGAAUAUGUCAUGUAGCGGUGAAAUGCAUAGAUAUGACAUAGAACACCAAUUGCGAAGGCAGCUGGCUACACAAAUAUUGACGCUGAGGCACGAAAGCGUGGGGAUCAAACAGG